rnacentral:lncRNA from 1 species
GCAAACUAGCACAGAUGUUUGGAUACUUUGAGGAUUAGUUCAGCUCCAAUUAGCCCCAACUAGCUCUAGCACUCGGAUCCAAACAGGGCCAUCCCCAUCUUUGUGUGUCCACUCUCUCUGGAACCCUAACCUCCCAUCGCAUUCCUCCUCCCGACGGCGCCCGACCCUCCCCAUCUCCCUCCCUCAGAUCUCGAUCCGCCGCCGCCCCCACCCCACCAUGGACGACCACGGUAUGGCACUCCACGCCUUCCCUCCCUCUCCCGGCGCCGCCGCUCCAGCCCUCAUCAUCUUCAUCCCCCGGCGCCGCCGCUCCUCCACUCCACCUCUCCUUGCCUCGCUGCGAGAGAGAGAGGACCCGCCUCACUUUUCUGAUCUCAACCCGCGUCGCAGCUCACCUCGCCGGCGGCCAUGCACCACCACGACGAUGAUGAGGGCCCCUUCAACGACUCCAGCCCCUUCCUCCCUGACCCCGCGAGUGGCGUCGGUGACUAUGGAAACUACGAGGGUAGGCCAUCCAUCUCCUUCCCUCGUCUUUCUCUCGACAUGCUAGUAGAUGAAUCUGUGUUUGCCGUUCUCCUCGCCAUGCUAAGAUCCGUCGGUGCUUGGGAGCGGCCUGUUGUGCUCUUCUGCUUCUCUGUUUUCUAAUCUGCCUGCUCGAUCUGUUGUUCUCACAGGGGAUCCGCAUCCGCCGCCACGGCCGCCCCGUCGCGGCCCGGGCUCGGUCUCCAGCGGUACCGGGCGGAGGAAUCGAGGCGUUACCUAGCGGGCGGGCGGUAGGGGGCUGAAGCUGGGUUGGUUGGACAGUGGCCGGCUCAGAUCCAUGAGCGCGGGACCAAUCUAGUUCACCGACUGAUGCCACGGCAGGGGUACCCUGUUUAUCUAUCUUUUACUGCUUUUUUGUUUGUUUGUUUGGGUUUCUGCAUGAUGAUGGAUGGGGCUGAAACCAUGCCACCGCCUGAUCGAUGCUGGAUGGUAAUUGUGCUAUGUUUUGUGCAUGCCAGUACUAGUAGUACCACUAAGUUCGUUCCUGGGCAACCAGCGUACAGAGGAUUUGUUCGUGCCUGACCUGUACUGUCUUGACCUCGUGUGUUCCUUAUGGUGAUUGAACGGCACUACAGAUUACGUUUCGGUAGUACCAUCGGUUUCCUGACCAAAUUAUGUCGAAUUGCGUUGGCGGUGCUUUUCGAUUCGAUUCUGAUCCUACUGAACCAUGCUGCCGUAGACCAUAAAAGGGGAAGCUCUAGUUGGCUAUGGGUUUUAGAUUUGGCAUGUCUUUAUCUUCACUGCAUAAGGGGCUGCAUCUAGUGGUAGUUGGCUUUGACUAACUGUGCAUUUAUGAGGCACUGUGUAUUGUUGUUCGGCAAACAAGCUCAUAGUUGCCUCACGUGUUCAAGUUUUACAUGGAAAACGAAAGAUGAGACAUAUUUAAUUGCAGAGUAGCAUAUGUGUUUGCAUCAUGUGCAACUUUUCUGGAUAUCCUAUAUCGAGAGACGUGGUAUACAUUUACUUGAAAAAGGGAAAAACAAUACCUUAAUACAGAACCAGUAAGCAAGGUUUGAUUGCUGCUAUAGAUGGCAAUGAAGUGCAACAAGCAGAAGCAGGUUGGCUUUGAUGUCAUUCAUUGGUUUGUGGCAUUGUGCUAUUCUUGAACUGUGUAUAUCCUCAGUACGUUACUGGUUAAUAUUACUAGAAUUAGCUUUGUAACAUCUCAAAAGAAGUGUAUAAAUUGGAAAAAAAAAGUCGGAUACGAUGAUAGUUUGUAGGGCCCAGGGAUACAUGGUAGUGAGCAUUUCCAACUAGAUGAUCUUUGUGAUGAUAUAGAUGAUUACUUUGUUCUUUACUUACCCUAUGGCAAAAAUUAAAUUUGCGGUUGGUCAGUGUAUGCACUUCUCUUUGACUAGAUAUAUCAUUUGAUUGUUAGGUCGAAAGAUCCAAGUGGCGUGAAAAUAGCUACACAGCUACACGUCUUGUCCAGAUCAUUUCCUGAAUCUGACUUGUGUGCACUAAUCUGCUGGUGCGCUGGACUGUUUGCUUAACCCUCUGUGUGUUUUGGUGUGCGCAGACCAAGGCUGACGUGCCGGCACUGACGCGCACCAGUAUGACGACCCGGAGGACGCCGCCAUCGCGGUGCUGCUUGACUCCCGCUUCGAUGGAGACAAGGUCGAUGCGGUCAAACGCCCUCCUCGCCCUCCUCGCCCAGGGCGUCGACGUCGCCCGCCUCUUUCCCUAGGUUUGUGAGCUUAUGCUCUGUUUUGUCUUAGCAAGUCCAAUUAGGCGUGUUCUGAUGAUAGUGAUGAACAAUAGUGUCUUCUGAUGUGGUGGUGCCAAACAAAACUUUUAUUCUUAUGCUGAGCUUACUUUUAAUAUUGUGAAUAUGAAAAUUCGGAGGUUGUACUGAAGUUCCAUUCAUUUUAUUCUGUGUCCUGAGCUUACCUUUGUAUCUCGGGAUUUUUUAUUCAUAUGUCGCCCUUCCUUUGGAUGUAGUUUAUCUUCGUACAUAAAUCAAUCAUGGCAUUCUUCCUAUUUGCAUUUUAUUAUGUUUUUAAAAUUCCCUAGCACAACUACAUAUAAGAAUGUGGGUCUGUGUUUUCUUAUUUCAGUGUCUAGGCAUCUGUGCAUUUGCAUGAUGUUUAAUUAUGUGCUAUGGAAUAUACAUUAGAUGAUGUAAACUGUUCUUCUUCUUGCCUAAUUAAAUGCGCUUUGUUUUUUCAGUAUGGAUUCCCAGGUCAAGCUUGAAGUCAUGGUGAAGGUGAUGAUAUGGGUUUCCUAUCUUCAGAAGUAAAAUGUUUGCUUGCUACCUUCUUUAGGGUACUGUUUUCUAAUCAAAUUGUUGGACACAUGAGUUAUUUAUACAUAUCAUGUGCUAUUUAUGGUUACUUUUAUGCACUGAUGGCCACCUUCUUGAUUACUUAGCUGAAUUAUGUUUUUGUGUAUUAAUCAUCAGGUGCUAGCAUUUGGCUUCUAUGUGCAAACAUGAUAAGUAUGUAUACUUCUUUGAGGUUCAAAUUCUACAGAUGUUGCAUAAUAUUGGUGUCAAAGUGUCUCUCCUUAGGGAUUCAUUUAAACCGCAUAUGAGCUACUAAAACAAUUGUUUUGCUGUUCAAACAUGAAAUUGUAGUUCUUUGUGUCAAACAUCGAAAUGUUGUUUACCUUGUCCUUCUAUGCUUAAAUAGUAAAAAUGUCGCAUUUAUAGGAUUGUACACCUGAUUUGAUCGGAGUAGGAUUUACUCGCUACUCAUAGUUACUACCUGUAUUCACUGAUUUCUAUGCAUCAUUUUGCUUGUUUUACUCUUAUUUACAUAGACAGACUGUAGGAAAACGUUGCAUGGGAAACAAAAAAAUUUUCUACGCACACGAAGACCUAUCAUGGUGAUGUCCAUCUACAUAGGAGAUUUGGAUCUACGUACCCUUUUAGAUCGUACAACAGGAAGCGUUAAGAAACACGGUUGAUGUAGUGGAACGUCUUCACGUUUCUCGAACUGUCUCAUGAACCGUCCCGCGAUCCGUCCCACGAUCGGUUCCGAUCUAGCGUCGCACGGAAGACACCUCCGCGUUCAGCAUACAACUCGACGAUGAUCUCGGCCUUUUUGAUCCAGCAAGCAAGAUGGAGAAGUAGAUUAGUUCUCCGACAGCGUGACGACGCUCCGGUGGUGGUGAUGAUCUACUGCUGCAGGGCUCCGUUUGAGCUCCGCAGAAAUCCGAUCUAGAGGUAAAACUUCGUGGUAUAAGUUUGAGUUGCACGUGGCAAAGAUGUGUCUCAAAUCAGCCAUAAGCCACCAAUAUAUAUAGGAGGGAGGGGAGGGCUAGCCUUGAGGCCUUGCCUCAAGGGUGCGUCGGCCAAGGGAGGAGGACUCCUCCAAUUCGGUUUGGGAAGGAGGAGUCCUCCUCUUCCUUCCCACCUCCCUCUUUCCCGUUUUCUUUUAUUUUCUUAUGGUAUUUUCUUAUGUGGCGCCAUGGGCCCUUGGAUUGACUCCACCAGCACACUAAGGACUUGUGGCGCCACCCUAGUGCCUUGGGCUCACUCUCGGGUGGGUGGGCCUCUCCCGGUGAACUCCCGGAACCUAUUCAUCACUCCCGGUACAUUGUCGGAAUUGCUCGAAACUUUCCGGUGACCAAAUGAAACCAUCCUAUAUAUCAAUAUUCGUUUCCGGAUCAUUUUGAAAACCAUCGUGACGUCCAUGAUCUCAUACGGGACUCCGAACAACAUUCGGUAACCACACAUAUAACUCAACUCAUUACAGGAAUCAGGGAAUUUGCCGUCUGGCUGAUCUUUGCCGUCUGCUGGCUGAUGGCAAAGAGAUUCUUUGUCGUCAGCUACCAGCAAACAGAUGGCAAAGAACUAACUAAUGGCAAAGAUACUCUUUAUCGUCAGCCUAGGGCCUCUUUGCGUUCUGCCUCGACCCCUUUGUCGCCAGCUUAUCCCCUGGCGGAUGACAAAGGGGACGGCCUUCUAACAGCGCCCCAUCUCUCCACCCCCAUCUGCCCUCCCUCGAUCCCCAUUCUCCCUCUCCCAGAUCCACACCCCUCUUCCUCUCCUCCCCGCUCCCAUCCGACAGGCAGAAUGAGCCCCCGCCCCAAACCCUAGCCACCGGGGAGCUGGUCUGGGCCAAGACCAAGGGCCACCACCACUGGUGGCCAGCGCGCCUCCACUCCCCCUCCACCCACCCAUCCACUGAAUCCCCACUCGUCUCCUCCCUCGGCACCGAGUACUCAAAUGACCACCACCCCGCCGCAGCCGUCAAGCCCUUCCUCCCCGCCCCCGAUGUCGACGCCUCGCCCGUGCCAACACCGGCCUGACGUUCAUCGCUGCCAUCGCCCAUGCUUGGGCCAUCAUCGUUGGGAUGCCCCUGCACGCGCGACCCUAACUCCUCCGACCGACUCCGAAUCUACCGACAAGGUCGUCAUCACCACCGUCACCAACCUCGAGCCCUGCGGCUUCCUCGCCCCCUCGCCAGCGCGGCCCGUGUGCGAGGAGUCGGGGUCCCGGGGAUUCACGUGGAGCACGUGGACAUCUCCGCCCUGCCGCUGCUCAACACCGACCUCGAGACGUCUUGCCCGUCGUCGAGGCCGACCUCGAGACGUCCUGCCCGCCGUCGAGGCCAUCCGCGACCGCACCUGCGCCGCCGACUGCUUCCUCUUUGGCUCGCCACGCCAGAGCAAAACUACUCCAUCGCAAGUAAUUGUUGCCCGCCCGCUCCUCCCCACUCCUUAAUUUCAACCUUGUUUUCCUGCCAGGUACUCUCGGAUUGCUCAAGCCAUGUAAGUAUCUCCCAAAUUGGCACUUUGUUGCUGCUGCACCAACUGAAAUACAGAGUUAGUAUUAGUGGUGAGUAUAUUUUGGCCACAAAGCAGGGGGAACCCCUUUUGUAAAGAAAUGGAUACAGUUUAUAAGUUAGUAUUAGUGGUCAGUAUAUUUUGGCCAACACAUGUUCUGAUGUUCCCUCUCAAAUUAAACUAAGGAUUAUGUUAUGGUUUCUUGUCGGUAUGGGUAAAUUUUGGCUGGCUUUGCCAAAUCAUGCAUUUCUGUCUCCAUAACUGCGGAGUUUCUAUUCCACAAGGUGGAUUCAUAUUUGGUUGUUCAUGGUGCAAAACUAGUGGGUUCGGUUCGAUUGUCAUGAUGGAAAUUUGGUGGAUAUCUUUCCCAUGCCGUUGUCAUGAUGCUUAGUUAGUGGAGUCCUGUCCGGACAUGACCGGUUAGUAGAUUGUUCAUAAAGUAGAAUAGAAAAUUUCUUAGGCCAACUUAAAAAAAAGGAGCCCAUUUUGUCUGGUCAGUAAGCAUGUCAACAUCAAGUGUUAGAACCUCCUUUAUUCCUUUCUUGCAGAUUUUAUAAAGAAAAGUGUGUCAAUAUUCUGUCAUGCCCUUUUAAUUCAAUUUAAUAUGGUUCUGUGAUAACUGCUACACCUGAGAAAUGCCCAAUUCUACUGCACAGAAUAUAUGUACCUUCCCUCUACCCUUGUCCAGCAGAAACCAACAUUCAUGUACUUGUUGCUCUAUCAAGUUUAGUUCACACGAGUGCCCUUCACAUAACAGGUCCAUAUCUUACUAUUCCUUUUUUUAGAAAAGGAGUUAAAGCCCCGGCCUCUGCAUCAAUCGAUGCAUGCGGCCAUCUAUUCUUGUCUUCCAGUAGUUUAGUUCACACCAUAUCUGGAGUACAAAUCAAGUUUAUUGCUAAAAAUAUUUAUUAUGAUGGAACAUACAAAUCAAGUAUUAUUUUUAUAUUAAACUAAAAAAGAAAUGCAGAUGUUCCAGCUGGUGGCGUUGACCCGCGACAAAUGUUUUCAGCGGUUGGUCUUGCUGAGAGGGUUAUUGUUCAUGUCGAAUGUAUGUACACAUGUUUAUGUCCAAUACUUUAGAUCAUUCUUUGUUUCCCUCCAACGGGCUAGACUUUGUAAAUGAUUAAUUGACAUGUUUGCUUGAGUGCAUGUAAUUGUUUUUCUUCAUCUAGUUAUAUACUCCAGUAGUUUAGGUCACACCAUAUCUGGAGUACAAAUCAUGUUCCCUUCAUCUAGUUUAGUACAUGACGUACGUGAGCAAACCAUGUGGUGUUGUUUGGGCAUGCUUCUUUGGAGCAGAGUUCUUUUGUAGUUUAACAUGGAUUGCUGACUUAGUAUUUAGCAUAGCUGUAUUGGAGUUGGACCCUCAACUUGUCACUCUAAUCAUCUAUGAAGAUACUCCCAUAGGUGAGGCAAAGUACCCCUAUUCUCCCUCAAUUUAUUCGCUGAUUGAUAUGUAUACAGCUAAUUAGAAUGGUCAUGCACUCAAGCAGUGCAUGAGUGCAGACAACUGCUUCACGCUUCAAAUAAAAUUCCAAGAAUUCGUUGUGUGGUUGCAACUAACUUUUUAUUCAGGACAAGUUUGAUCAACUAAAUGAUUUGUUGUUCUUUACUGUUAGUGAGAAAGGUUGAUACCAUGUUGUUUGUUUUGCAACAUAGGGAAGUUCUUUAGUAGGACAUGAUUCAGUUUUCUCAUCCGAAUCUGCACUCUAAGUUAGCUCUCAACACCUCGGAGUCCUGAUAGAGGUAUACUACCUCACAUCAAAAUUUUCUAUGCAAGCAGGCGCUAGAGUCAUGGGCUUGUUAUGAUCUACUAAUUAGGUUUCUGCAUAAAAUUGCUAUCUCUUUGGCUAGCGCCGAUAGAAGACGUAUGUUGGUUCAGCAAUGCCAAAAUUGCAUAGUUGGAUGAUGUUUAGGAUUGUCCCAGUUGUAUCAUUCUGCUCGCAUAACUUAGUGUUAAAUGUGCGACACUUAUUUUGGGACGGAGGAGUAUUUCUUAGUAACAACUUUAUAUUAGGUCUGCAAACUAAUUACUAUUGUAACCAGCAGCACACCCUAUCACCUUAAAUCACAAGCGAUGGAGCAGAAUCGAUGUGAGCUAACAUAAGCAACUGUUGCAGACUUGGCUGGGCUAGACCCCUCUCACAUCAAGGUAAUAUGCAAUGCUACUAACAACAAUAUCAUCUCCAUGCUUACCUUUACGUUUUUUUAAGUAUGAUGGUUUCCUUUGUUAGUUCACCUCUUUUACACAUUGUGAUUUUGAAUACCUAUAUCUCUCACAAACAACUAUGGGAAAUAGUGUUGUUCGUUGUUAAGCUUGAUACGAAUGUUAUUUAUCUCCACGUCUAUCUUCCCCGUCAAAUAACUAAGAUUCAUAAAUAUGCGUCAAUGUAUGGCAUUUUAUUUAAUUCCAGACUUCAAUCUGAAGUUUUUUGAAAAAAAUACUAGUUUGUAUGCAAGGAACAUCAUAUUCUGUUUAAACCUAAUUAUUAUCGCGUUGUUGUACGCUUUGGUGCAUGAGCUUGUGCUCAUGUAAACUAAUGAGCACUGUAAUUUGCCUUCCAAAAUUAGUCAUAUUCUGUUUAAACCUAAUUAUUAUCGCAUUGGUGUACGCUUUGGUGCAUGAGCUUGUGCUCAUGUAAACUAAUGAGCACUGUAAUUUGCCUUCCAAAAUUAGUAUUGUUACCAUUGUAUUUUACCAUCCAUUUAUCAUUAUCAAUCUACCAUUGCCUCUAUGGGCCGGCGUGUCGCCACGCUUUUUGGUGCUAGUUGAUAUGAUUCCUACUUCAGUUAGUGCUCUAAGUGGUUAACUAAACUUUUAAGUUUCAGCUACUAAAAUCAUGUUGAACUGAAUAGUCCUACUGCACUACUUGCCGCAACACUUUUGUUUAUUUUUUGGUAUUAAGACAUGAUUGGUUGGUCUAUUUGAUAGGAUUUCUGGUUCAAAAAAACAACCAAAACAUACUUGAAGCUAUACUUCUGUUUAUAAUGUCCUUGUAUCAUGUUUUGUUUCCUUCCUGGACAUGGUAUGGUCUAAGUGUUGCUUCUAUGGUAAAUGGUGUGGUUCCUAUAGUCCUGCUGCUAUUUGAUGCUAUUAUAGUUAGGAUUCUACUCCUUGGAAGUGAUGCUUGUAGAAAAUGUCUUAGCUUUAUAUGGCGAAAGGUUGUGCAUUAAUUAGUCGUCGUCUUCUUCUUCUUUUAAUUUUCUUAAAUACUUCAAUUUUUGCAGAUUAGAUUCAUUUCAUGGAAGCUGGCAUUGAUGGACUGCUAAUGUUUAAUUUUUUUCAUUUGUAUUGACGAACAAUGUAAAAUUUAUGUAUGUAUAUAUAUGAACUAUGUGAAACUAUGUAUUGUGCUAGCCUAUGUGUUCUCUAGCUUGUUAAAUAUUUUAUGAUGAUGUUGGAAAUAUAUAUGCUAUGAAAUAUAUGUGUUGAAGAUGUUUGAAAUAGAUGCUGUGAAAUGUAUAUGUAUGCAUGUAUGUAUGUAUAUUUGUGGUAUGAAAAUGCAGGGGAAUAAAAUAAAACAGAUAAAAA